rnacentral:lncRNA from 1 species
UGGUUGUAAAGAUUUUCAAGAUCUUUGGGUUUGAAUGACAACAUUUGAGUUGGUGGAGAAAGAAAGUGUAAGGGGGAGGCGUUAAAAGUUUGGAAACAUUAAGUAAGAGCUUAAACAACCCUUUUUUUCUGGUUUUGGAGUUGAAUGUAUAUUAAUGAGUUCAUGCAAUUGCAUUUUUUUUCUUUUUUGGGUGAAACAAUUAUCUGUAGGGCAAUUAUUGACAUGACUAUGUACAAUUGCAUGUUGAGAUUAUUCAUUUGUCUGUAUUGAAGAGAAC